rnacentral:misc_RNA from 1 species
GAUGAAGAACGUAGCGAAAUGCGAUAAGUAAUGUGAAUUGCAGAAUUCAGUGAAUCAUCGAAUCUUUGAACGCACAUUGCGCCCGCCAGUAUUCUGGCGGGCAUGCCUGUUCGAGCGUCAUUUCAACCAUCAAGCCCCCGGGCUUGUGUUGGGGACCUGCGGCUGCCGCAGGCCCUGAAAAGCAGUGGCGGGCUCGCUGUCACACCGAGCGUAGUAGCUUACAACCUCGCUUUGGGAGUGCUGCGGGUGCUGGCCGUAAAGCGACCUUUGCGUCUUUAGCACUAGGUUGACCUCGGAUCAGGUAGGAGGACCCGCUGAACUUAAGCAUAUCAAUAAGCGGAGGA